rnacentral:rRNA from 1 species
UACGGAGGGUGCGAGCGUUAAUCGGAAUUACUGGGCGUAAAGCGCAUGUAGGCGGCCGAACAAGUCAGGUGUGAAAUCCUCGGGCUUAACCUGGGAAGUGCACUUGAUACUGUCCGGCUAGAGUUUGGCAGAGGAAAGUAGAAUUCCCGGUGUAGCGGUGAAAUGCGUAGAUAUCGGGAGGAAUACCAGUGGCGAAGGCGGCUUUCGGGGCCAAUACUGACUCUGAGGUGCGAAAGCGUGGGGAGCAAACAGG